rnacentral:rRNA from 1 species
CCCUUAGAUGUCCUGGGCCGCACGCGCGCUACACUGAUGCAUUCAACGAGUUUUACCUUGGCCGAGAGGCCUGGGCAAUCUUUUAAACCUGCAUCGUGAUAGGGAUAGAUUAUUGCAAUUUUUACUCUUGAACGAGGAAUUCCUAGUAAACGCAAAUCAUCAAUUUGCAUUGAUUACGUCCCUGCCCUUUGUACACACCGCCCGUCGCACCUACCGAUUGAAUGGUCCGGUGAAGCCUCGGGAUUGUGGCCAGUUCACUUUAUUGGGAGUUGGCUGUGAGAACUUGUCUAAACCUUAUCAUUUAGAGGAAGGUGAAGUCGUAACA